rnacentral:rRNA from 1 species
CAAUAGCGUAUAUUAAAGUUGUUGCAGUUAAAAAGCUCGUAGUUGGAUUUCUGGUAGGAGCGACCGUGCCGAACUUGAUUGUUCGAGUAUUGUGUUGUCUUCAGCCAUCCUCGUGGAGAACUUUUCUAACAUUAACUUGUUGGGAUUGGGACCCACGUCGUUUACUGUGAAAAAAUUAGAGUGUUUAAAGCAGGCAUUAGCUUGAAUACAUUAGCAUGGAAUAAUAAGAUAGGACUUUGGUACUAUUUUGUUGGUUUGCAUACCAAAUUAAUGAUCAACAGGAACAGUUUGAGGAUAUUCGUAUGAACAUGUCAGAGGUGAAAUUCUUGGAUUUUGAUCAGACGAACUACUGCGAAAGCAUUUAUCAAGGAUGUUUUCAUUAA